rnacentral:lncRNA from 1 species
UGUUUCACUGUAUUUAUUCCAUUAAACGUACUUAAUAAAACAUAAUUAAUUAUUAGUAUUAAGACCAUCACUAAGUUAUUUACCAUCUUUAAAGCAAUCUAACCACAAAAAGAACCAAUAAAUCUCCAGUGCAAUGCAAACCACAAAGUUGUAGUUAAUUAAAUGACCGAAAAAGCAGAUGAUAUUCAUUGUUAACCCAAAAAAUUGUACGAUGAAACAAUUAAAUACAAUUUCAUACACCCGAC